GAUGGGUUGGGAUGAUGGAAUGAGGGAAUGGUUGAAUGGAUGGAUUGGAGGGAGGGAGGGAUGGCUGGCUGAAGUGACAGGCAGAGAAGGUAAGGAGUGUGAAAGUGCCAACUAUGUGGCACAGAACACUGGUGACAGAUCUUCAUCAUUCUUCCUUGUACAUGUCAAAUACUGACGAAGUACCUGCUGUGUGUGAGUCACAGUCACAGUCACAGACAGGGGCGUACAACAGUGAGUAAAACCGUAUUGCCCUCAUGAUGUUUACUGUCAGUGAUGGAAACAGAUACGAACUGCAACUGAUCCCAAUUUUAGGAAGUAUUAUGUAUAUAAAAUGAGGUGUGGAUUUAGUGUCGUCAGGGUCGAGAGAGUGUAAGUACUGCAGGUUGGAUGAAAAGGUGUCCUGGAUGUUGGUGUAAGAAUGAAAGGACAAAGGACAAACUUGAUCCUGAUUCGAUCCCAAGGCCAGGGCCAAGAAACAAAAUCCCACCAAUCCCUGCCUGGGCUUUCCACAGAAACCCACCAAUCAUUAAACACUAAAACCCACCAGUCCCUGGACAGGAAAACCCACCAAUCCUGAGCUCACCCAAGCUCAGGAAUUGAAAUCUCACCAAUCCUCAUUCUGGAAACCUUCACCCAGGAAAGCUCCACCCCCACCCCAAAUCCUAUAUAUAAAUCCUGUGCUCUGCCUAGUUCCCUGCUGUUUCUCUCCCAAGCAGAGGCAGUCUCCCUCCUGGGUUUUUCCCUCCCGACAAUCUCUUGUGUGAGGUUUGUUGUACAGCGUGGCUUUAUGCUUUAUGGUAUUCCUUUAUGGUGUCUCCGAACUGCUAGGAUACCUCUCAGAGCAGAACUUGGAUAAGGGAAUCCUUCGCCUGCAACUGAAGGAGAGCUGGGACACUUCUAUAGGGAAGCCUUUCUGUUCGGAGCCAGGGCACUUAGAGUUGGGAACCAAGAAUACCACCAAGUGGCAGGGGGCAACAACCCUCACAUAAGAGAGUUGUUGGGAGGGAGAACCCCAGGAGGGAGGCAACCUCUGCUUGGGAGAGAAGCAGCAGACUGCAGUAGACAGGGGUUGUACAGGAUUGCUUAGGGGCAGGGCUUUCCAGGGUGGGGAGUGGCAAGAGUUCUAGUUUGACGCUUGGGCCUUUUACUGUAUAGGGCAGGAGCUGGGGCUGGCCAUUAGGACAGUUAAUGUCUGUAAGUGGAACCUGGUGGGUCAUGGUCUUCGGGGGAGGGGCCUGGCCACUUAUGUGCCUCAAGGGACUUACUGAGAUGCAGUCGAAAUGUCAGGACUAUGCAGAGUGUCAUGAAGUUGACUGUGGAGUUUCAUCUCCGGAAUGGGAGCUUCUCCCGAGGGAUGGCAGAGAUCCUUCCACUGAGAGCAGGGUGGCACUGUUCCUGAUCACACCGUGUUACUGAAAGAGAGAAAGAACACAGGGCUUUCUUGCUCCACACCCUCCCUACAAGCACGGACAUCUCCACCAUCUCGUCAUCCAGACAGCCCAGCUCCUCCUCCGAGCGCCCCAGGCUUCCAUGGAUCAGUAGUACAUCUUGGAUGUAGAUCCCACCACAUUCCCCAAACCUUCCUUCCCAGCAGCCGUCUCAGCUUCCAGUUAGUCUUGAGCUUGCGGCCACUCCUCCCCUCUCCUGCUGCAGGAUUUCUCCAACCACACAUCACAGUCCAUUAGUGAGCGGGUCAGGCCAUCAAUACAGUGGACGUGAGAAGCCUUUUACAACAGGGCAGACUAGACUGGAAGCUGUUGGAUCACACUGUGUGUACGUCUUCAGCGUGAAGGGUGAUAGUGGCAGCCCUGUUAUGUGAACCUUCUCUCACCCUGGAGACAAGCUCCCUUACCAUGGUACAUCUGUGGCAAUGCUGAACGUUCCUAGAAUUGAGAAGAUCUCUGUUAAGCUCAGAUUUUCUCUGAAGCCCAAGAAGGUGUAAAUCACUGACACUAUUUGAAAUGUAGUUUUGUUCUAAGCAUAAAUUUAUUUCUCAAAUAGGAAUAUUGCCUGGUAUCACAUCAAAAUGGUCCCAAUUAUUCUUCCAGUUUAAGUACGCACAGAUCUUCCCAUAGCUAGCAAAAAAAUCGGGGAGGGGAGGGGGGCUUGAUGGCAACACUCUGAGGAAUAUGACCCAUGAGGCAAACAUACAAGGCAAAGAAAGUCAUGAAGUAUUUGUGCCAGAGAACCACCUAGAACCUCCCAGAGCUCAGAGCUUUUUGACGUACUUCCAGCUAUGCCACACUAUUAGGAGUCUGUAAACUCUGCUUCUGACACAGAUUCAACUAGGAUCCAGUGAGGUCCUACUUUGCAUGAUGUAGGGUUUAUCGUUUGUGUUGGGGACAUCGUGGGUGGGGGGUGAUUCUCCUGAGGAGGCAUCAAAGAAAUAUUUUUUUCUCAGAAAUAAGAAGGUUGCAGACUGGCCAAGAAAGAUUCUGGUGGAUCCAUCUUGGUGAAGUAAGCAAGAUCACUCUGAUUACCUACAGCAGCAUGGGCUGAUGGUGAGCGGCUGGACCACACAGCUCCAAGCCCUGCCUAGCUCCCGCUGUCUAUGGCUCCAAGUCUAAAGCAGAACUCAGACAAAGCCGGGUGCAGCUCUCCCUAGUGUUAAAGCAUAGUGGGUGGCCAUAGGCUCCAGGGAUGGAAGGAAGGAGCAGAUGAAAGCCAACUUCAGAAGUUCUGUGUCCAUGAGAGCUGCCCCACCCUAGCACAUACCGGGAAUGCUUGGCCAAUGCUGAUCAAACGUGGGAAGAAUGGUCUAUCUCACUUCAGCAUGGCACAAAGGACAGCUUAGUGGUAUCUUGUUGCAAGAUGAACCCAGGAUUCUAGGGACUACACCAUGCCCCAAAUGCUCAUCUCUCGAGAAAAACUGGCGACGCUGUGGAAAUUUGGGGAGAGUCGUGUAACCCAAGGUUUAUCAUUUACUAGGUAACGCCUGCUUUUCCCCCAGGGGCAAAGGGAGACGAUGCCUGUUUGUUUAUUUAAGGUGUUCUGUUUUGUUUUGAGACAGGAUCUCGUGUAGCCCAGGCUGGCUUCAAACUUUCUAUGUAGCUGAGAAUGACCUUGAACCUCUGACCCUCCUGCCUCCAACCCCUCACUGGAAGGUACUGGGUAUCCCGUGACAAACGCGCCUGCUUUCUGCCACAGAGCAGCUGAGUCAUCAUCAUCAAGCCCUUAGCAAGUCAACAGCUGGGGAUGGAUUAUGGAGAGCCACACAUCUAGAGAAAAAGAAUGAGCCCAGCCCUCCCUAGACCAACAAAAGCAUUUCGGUAGCCGUGUGGCUGAGCCAGCGGGGCAAGGGAUCACUGGUUGUUACAAAGUGGUUGCUUUUCUUAUCAAAUCCAAAGCCCUCCUGCAGGUAGGAAGGUCUGUGGGUGCUGACCUGGUGGUCCAAUGUUUACCAGGCAUGAAGGAGGUUCCUGGAGUUGAUGCCCAGCACUGGAAAAAACAGAUUGCUAGAUACUUGAUCAGUUCAAGACAGACCAGCAUGGAUUUUCAAAAGCUGUGACUCCUGCCUUACAGCCACUCACAAAAGGAAGUGACCUCAUGGGCUGCCCGCGGGUGCCGCCACCCACAGAAUGAACAGCACUUGCUGUGGGUCACAGCCGGGACUGAAGUCCAGGAAAGUUGCUAGACCCUGGGCUCCUUUAGUGACUUGCUGUGAUAAAACCAUUCUGACAAAGCAACUUAAAGGAGAGGGGUUCAGGCCAGCUGCCCAGGCUAUAGUCCACCAUGGCAGGAAGUUCCGGCUGCAGGAGCCUGAGAGACCUGCUCACAUCACAUCCAGUCACAAGAGAGCGACGAAUGCGCCAGUCUUAGUGCUGAGCUCAUUUCGUCCACUUAGGCAGUCCCAUGCCAGUCACAACUAAAGUGCAUCUUCCCACACUGCUUAAAGAAUCAAGACAUUGCCCCAAGCACAUGCUCAGAGCCCCUGAUCAUCACACAGACCAAGCCAACCCUUCUUGAAUUCUGUCAUCCACUGCUAGCCUAUGAUAUGGCCUUUCCAAGGUUCUUAAAUCUUUCUGUAGGAGGGUCAGAGAACAGUGUGGUUCAAAUGCUGGAUCUUACAUCCCUGAGCUUGGUCGUACGUUCAACAUCCCUGGAUUUCCCCACAAAAGAGUUGACCUUGAAAUGACCCACUCUGUGCCAUCUCCUCGAGUCUGCAUCAGUCCAGAUAUAGACCGGUCACUGUCAGAGCUAGUCUCAGCACAGGAAGCAACCUGACUCAUCUUCCACAGGAUAAUUCCAGCCCAUGGCCUGUGGGUCACAUGGAGCCCAGAAGAGCUAUCAAUACAGUCCAACCCAAAGUCAUAAAGUGACUUAAAGUAUUACAAAUUUGGGGGCAAUAUUUUAGGUUUUUUUUUUUUUUUGUUAUUUUUGGGUUUUGUUUUUAUUCAAUUCUGAUUCUUAAGCAUGAAUGGUCACAAUGUCAAAAUGUGAACGAGCAAACCACCAUUUUGAAUCCCCAGUAGACAGAUUCUUGGCAGAGAAGGAGGCAAUCCGGCCCCUCUGUCUCAUGCAUGGACAUUGUCUAUUUCCCCUUUAAUGCCUAGAAUUGACUCUGUAAAUAUUCUAAGAAUAAAACCAAUAUGACUAAGCAGAA